rnacentral:rRNA from 1 species
GAUGAACGCUAGCUACAGGCUUAACACAUGCAAGUCGAGGGACCGGCGCACGGGUGAGUAACACGUAUCCCUCCCGCCCUUUACUCGGGGAUAGCCUUUCGAAAGAAAGAUUAAUACCCGAUAUAAAGGAUGGGGAUGCGUUCCAUUAGGUUGUUGGUGAGGGACCAGCCAACCAAGCCUUCGAUGGAUAGGGGUUCGGAGUGGAAGGCCCCCCAGAUUGGAACUGAGGCACGGUCCAAACUCGUAGGGGAGGCAGGGGUAGGGAAUAUUGGUCAAUGGGCGUUAGCCUGAACCAGCCAAGUAGCGUGAAGGGUGAAGGCUUAUGAAUCGUAAACUUCUUUUAUAUAAGAAGAUGUAUUAUAUGAAGAAGGAUCGGCUAACUCCGUGCCAGCAGCCGCGGUAAUUC